CGCCCCCGCCGGGCACGGCGGGGCCCUGGGCCGCCUCCGGGAGCGCGAGUUCCCCCGGCUCCGAGGGAUUACUUACCUUGACCAUGCAGGCUCAGCUCUCUUCCCAGAGAGUCUACUUAAAGCUUUCACCGAUGACCUGCGGAACAACGUUUAUGGCAACCCUCAUAGUCGGAAUACCAGCAGCAAGCUGACGUAUGACACAGUCGAGCAUGUCCGAUACAGAAUAUUGCAGACACUU